GACGAACGCUGGCGGCGUGCUUAACACAUGCAAGUCGAACGGAAAGGCCCCUUUGGGGGUACUCGAGUGGCGAACGGGUGAGUAACACGUGAGUAACCUGCCCUUGACUUCGGGAUAACUUCAGGAAACUGGGGCUAAUACCGGAUAGGAAUCCUUGCUGCAUGGUGGGGGUUGGAAAGCUUCGGCGGUUUUGGAUGGACUCGCGGCUUAUCAGCUUGUUGGUGGGGUAGUGGCUUACCAAGGCUUUGACGGGUAGCCGGCCUGAGAGGGCGACCGGCCACAUUGGGACUGAGAUACGGCCCAGACUCCUACGGGAGGCAGCAGUGGGGAAUAUUGCACAAUGGGCGGAAGCCUGAUGCAGCAACGCCGCGUGCGGGAUGACGGCCUGCGGGUUGUAAACCGCUUUCAGCAGGGGCGAAGCUUGUGGUGACGGUACCUGCAGAAGAAGCACCGGCUAACUACGUG
rnacentral:rRNA from 1 species